rnacentral:misc_RNA from 1 species
AAACAUCGACACUUGUCAGCACACAGAAGAUUCUGGCAAAGGAACUAAAAGCAUAUCAUGUGGGAAUGGAAUAUAUAGUUUUUUUUUUUUUGAUAUCAAGAAUCUAUAGUUAAAUAACUAAAAGCAUAAGAAGAGCUCCAAAUGCUUCCAAAAAGGAAGAAAACAUAAAAUCAUAUCGUAAUUAAUUGCAAGGUGGACAUCAACAGCAAAGCGAUGAGGUAGAUAGUGCAUACCACACUUCUUGCAGUGAAAAUAAU